UGGGGAAUAUUGGACAAUGGGGGAAACCCUGAUCCAGCAAUGCCGCGUGAGUGAAGAAGGCCUUAGGGUUGUAAAGCUCUUUCGCCCGCGAAGAUAAUGACGGUAGCGGGAGAAGAAGCCCCGGCUAACUCCGUGCCAGCAGCCGCGGUAAUACGGAGGGGGCUAGCGUCGUUCGGAAUUACUGGGCGUAAAGCGUACGUAGGCGGAUGCGCAAGUUGGGGGUGAAAUCCCGGGGCUUAACCUCGGAAUUGCCCUCAAAACUGCACGUCUUGAGACCGAGAGAGGUAAGGGGAAUUCCUAGUGUAGAGGUGAAAUUCGUAGAUAUUAGGAAGAACACCAGUGGCGAAGGCGCCUUACUGGCUCGGUACUGACGCUGAGGUACGAAAGCGUGGGGAGCAAACA
rnacentral:rRNA from 1 species